rnacentral:rRNA from 1 species
AUACGGAGGAUGCAAGCGUUAUCCGGAUUUAUUGGGUUUAAAGGGUGCGUAGGCGGAUGAUUAAGCGUGAGGUGAAAUGCCACUGCUCAACAGUGGAACUGCCUCGCGAACUGGUCGUCUUGAAUGCUCCUGCCGUGGGAGGAAUGUGUGGUAUAGCGGUGAAAUGCAUAGAGAUCACACAGAACACCGAUUGCGAAGGCAUCUCACGAAGGGGUGAUUGACGCUGAGGCACGAAAGCGUGGGGAUCAAACAGGAUUAGAUACCCUGGUAGUCCACGCAGUAAACGAUGAUAACUAACCGCUGGGUCGUAGUGAUUCAGUGGCCAAGCGAAAGCGAUAAGUUAUCCACCUGGGGAGUACGACCGCAAGGUUGAAACUCAAAGGAAUUGACGGGG